rnacentral:rRNA from 1 species
AUAAGAUCCGUAGUCGAAAGGGAAACAGCCCAGACCACCAGUUAAGGUCCCCAAAUAUAUGUUAAGUGGAAAAGGAUGUGGGGUUGCUUAGACAACCAGGAUGUUGGCUUAGAAGCAGCCACCAUUGAAAGAGUGCGUAAUAGCUCACUGGUCGAGUGACCCCGCGCCGAAAAUGUACCGGGGCUAAACAUAUUACCGAAACUGUGGAUGAACCUCUUUAGAGGUUCGUGGUAGGAGAGCGUUCUAAGGGCGGUGAAGUCAGACCGGAAGGACUGGUGGAGCGCUUAGAAGUGAGAAUGCCGGUAUGAGUAGCGAAAGAAGGGUGAGAAUCCCUUCCACCGAAUAUCUAAGGUUUCCUGAGGAAGGCUCGUCCGCUCAGGGUUAGUCGGGACCUAAGCCGAGGCCGAUAGGCGUAGGCGAUGGACAACAGGUAGAGAUUCCUGUACCAGUGCUAAUUGUUUAACCGAUGGGGUGACACAGAAGGAUAGGGAAUCGCACGAAUGGAAAUGUGCGUCCAAGCAGUGAGUGUGAG